GACGAACGCUGGCGGCGUGCUUAACACAUGCAAGUCGAACGGAAAGGCCCUGCUUUUGUGGGGUGCUCGAGUGGCGAACGGGUGAGUAACACGUGAGUAACCUGCCCUUGACUUUGGGAUAACUUCAGGAAACUGGGGCUAAUACCGGAUAGGAGCUCCUGCUGCAUGGUGGGGGUUGGAAAGUUUCGGCGGUUGGGGAUGGACUCGCGGCUUAUCAGCUUGUUGGUGGGGUAGUGGCUUACCAAGGCUUUGACGGGUAGCCGGCCUGAGAGGGUGACCGGCCAAAUUGGGACUGAGAUACGGCCCAGACUCCUAAGGGAGGCAGGAGUGGGGAAUAUUGCACAAUGGGCGGAAGCCUGAUGCAGCAACGCCGCGUGCGGGAUGACGGCCUUCGGGUUGUAAACCGCUUUCGCCUGUGACGAAGCGUGAGUGACGGUAAUGGGUAAAGAAGCACCGGCUAACUACGUG
rnacentral:rRNA from 1 species